rnacentral:rRNA from 1 species
CAGCAGCCGCGGUAAUACGAAGGGGGCUAGCGUUGCUCGGAAUUACUGGGCGUAAAGGGAGCGUAGGCGGAUGUUUAAGUCAGAGGCGAAAGCCCAGGGCUCAACCUUGGAACUGCCUUUGAUGCUGGACAUCUUGAGUGUGGGAGAGGUAAGCGGAACUCCGAGUGUAGAGGUGAAAUUCGUAGAUAUUCGGAAGAACACCAGUGGCGAAGGCGGCUUACUGGCCCAUUACUGACGCUGAGGCUCGAAAGCGUGGGGAGCAAACAGGAUUAGAUACCCCUGUAGUCCCUGUCUCUUAUAC